rnacentral:rRNA from 1 species
AACGAACGCUGGCGGCAUGCCUAACACAUGCAAGUCGAACGAGACCUUCGGGUCUAGUGGCGCACGGGUGCGUAACGCGUGGGAACCUGCCCUUAGGUUCGGAAUAACUCCCCGAAAGGGGUGCUAAUACCGGAUAAUGUCUUCGGACCAAAGAUUUAUCGCCUUUGGAUGGGCCCGCGUUGGAUUAGCUUGUUGGUAGGGUAAAAGCCUACCAAGGCGACGAUCCAUAGCUGGUCUGAGAGGAUGAUCAGCCACACUUGGGCUGAGACACGGCCCAGACUCCUACGGGAAGGAGGAGUGGGGGAUGGUGGAACAUGGGGGGAAGGCUGAACCAGCAAGGACGGGUGAACGAUGAAAGCCGUAGGGUUGUAAAGCGCUUUUACCCGGGAUGAUAAUGACAGUACCGGGAGAAUAAGCUCCGGCUAACUCCGUG